rnacentral:rRNA from 1 species
CACGUAGGGGGCAAGCGUUGUCCGGAUUUAUUGGGCGUAAAGAGCUCGUAGGCGGCUUAGUAAGUCGGGUGUGAAACCUCCAGGCUCAACCUGGAGACGCCACCCGAUACUGCUGUGGCUAGAGUCCGGUAGGGGAGCGUGGAAUUCCUGGUGUAGCGGUGAAAUGCGCAGAUAUCAGGAGGAACACCAGCGGCGAAGGCGGCGCUCUGGGCCGGUACUGGCGCUGAGGAGCGAAAGCGUGGGGAGCAAACAGG